rnacentral:rRNA from 1 species
AUUCCAGCUCCAAUAGCGUAUAUUAAAGUUGUUGCAGUUAAAACGCUCGUAGUCGGAUUUCGGGGCGGGCCGACCGGUCUGCCGAUGGGUAUGCACUGGCCGGCGCGUCCUUCCUUCCGGAGACCGCGCCUACUCUUAGCUGAGCGGGCGCGGGAGACGGAUCGUUUACUUUGAAAAAAUCAGAGUGUUUCAAGCAGGCAGCUCGCUCUUGCAUGGAUUAGCAUGGGAUAAUGAAAUAGGACUUUGGUGCUAUUUUGUUGGUUUCGAACACCGAAGUAAUGAUUAACAGGGACAGUCAGGGGCACUCGUAUUCCGCCGAGAGAGGUGAAAUUCUCAGACCAGCGGAAGACGAACCACUGCGAAAGCAUUUGCCAGGGAUGUUUUCAUUA